UUCUAGCCGGUAAGAACUGCCUCUUCCUUUUCCUCUCCCUUUCCUCAUCCAUCAAUUUCUGAAUGUUUAGGAUUAGCGUUCUUGAUUUUUUUAGGAGCGGGGCAAAGGAAGAGGAAGAAGGCCAAGAAAGGAUCCCGGGUUGCCCUAAGAAGCUGCUCCUCGGGUUGCCGCCGUACAAUGAGGAGGCAGUGGACAGGAAGGGUGGCGCUCCUCGUUGAUCUCAAGAGCAAAAUUUGGGGUUCGGCCCGAACAAGAGCCCUCAUUCUGUCCGAUAAAAAAGCGCCCUUAUUCUUUACGCGGUUCAUCCUCACUUCAUUUGGUCUUUUAUUGAAACUGCGAACAUACUGU
rnacentral:lncRNA from 1 species